GUUGAAACGCCGGUAUAUGUACGAUCACCGAAAUUAAGCAACAUUAAGCGUGGUCAGUACCAAGAUGGGUGACCGCUAAGGAAUACCAGGUGCUGUAAG